UUUUGUUGCUAGUCGGCCGGUGAGCGCGUGCGUGGACAUGGCCUCAACCGACUAUACCCAACAAGCAACCCAAAGCUAUGGAGCCUAGCCCACCCAGCCUGGGCAGGGCUACUCCCAACAGAGCAAUCAGCCCUGUGGACAGCAGAGUUACAGUGGUUAUGGCCAGUCAGAUACUUCAGGCUAUGGCCAGAGCAGCUAUGGUUCUUCUUACGGACAGACCCACAACACAGGUUAUAGCACUCAUCAACUCCCCAGGGAUAUGGCUCAACUGGUGGCUAUGGCAGUAGCCAGAGUUCCCAGUCAUCUUAAGGGCAGCAGUCCUCCUAUCCUGCAGCCGGCUCCUAGCAGCACCUCGGGAAGUUAUGGUGGCAGUUCUCGGAGCAGCAGCUACGGACAGCCCCCAAGUUGGGGAUACGGCCAACAGUCGGGCUAUGGCAGACAGCAGCAGAACUACCGGCAACAGCAAAGCUAUAUCCCCCUCAGGGCUAUGGACAACAGAACAAGUGCAACAGUAGCAGGGGACGUAGUGGAGGGGGUGGUGGAGGUAACUAUGGCCAAGAUCAGUCCUCCAUGAGUGGUGGCAGUGUGGUUAUGGCAGUCAGGACCGGAGUGGUGGUGGCGCUGGCUACAGGGGAGGCCAACAGGACCUCGGGGGACGCGGCAGGGGCCGUGGCGGUGGUUACCAACUGCAGCAGUGGUGGCUAUGAACCCAGAGGUGGUGGAGGUGGCCGUGGAGGCAGAGGCAGCAUGGGCGGAGUGACUGAGGUGGCUUCAAUAAAUUUAGUGGCCCUUGGGACCAAGGAUUACGUCAUGACUCCAACAAGAUAACUCAGACAACAACACCAUCUUUGUGCAAGGCCUGGGUGAGAAUGUUACAAUUGAGUCUGUGGCUGAUUACUUCAAACAGAUCGGUAUUAUUAAGACAAACAAGAAAACAGGACUGCCUAUGAUUAAUUUGUACACAGACAGGGAAACUGGCAAGCUGAAAGGAGAGGCAACGGUUUUUUUUGAUGACCCAACUUCUGCUAAGGCAGCUAUUGACUGGUUUGAUGGUAAAGAAUUCUCCGGGAAUCCUAUCACGGACUCAUUUGCAACUCGCCGAGCUGACUUCAACCGGGGUGGUGGCAACAGUUGGGGAGGCCGAGGGCGAGGAGGACCCAUAGGCCGUGGAGGUUAUGGAGGUGGUGGCAGUGGUGGCGGUGGCCAAGGAGGAUUUUCCAGUGGAGGUGGUGGUGGUGGAGGACAGCAGUGAGCUGGGGACUGGAAGUGUCCUAUCCUACAUGUGAGAACAUGAACUUCUCUUGGAGGAAUGAAUGCAACCAGCGUAAGGCUCGGAAACCAGAUGCCCCAGGAGCUGGACCAGGAGCCUUUCAUAUGGGGGCUAACGAUGGAGAUGAUCGUCGUGGUGGCAGAGGAGGCUAUGAUCAAGGCGGCUACUGGGGCCAUGGUGGGGACCAUGGGGGCUUCUGAGGGGGCUGGGGUCAUGGGGACAGAGGCCGCUUUGGCCCUGGCAAGAUGGACUCCAGGGGUGAGCACAGACAGGAUCGUAGAGAGAGGCCAUAUUAGCCUGGCUCCUGAGAUUCUGGAACAGCUUUUCCUCCUGUACCCA